UACGUAGGGCGCAAGCGUUGUCCGGAAUUAUUGGGCGUAAAGAGCUCGUAGGCGGCCUGUUGCGUCCGCUGUGAAAUCCCGGGGCUCAACCCCGGGCCUGCAGUGGAUACGGGCUGGCUAGAGGCAGGCAGGGGAGAACGGAAUUCCCGGUGUAGUGGUGAAAUGCGUAGAGAUCGGGAGGAACACCCGUGGCGAAGGCGGCUCACUGGGCUGACCUUGACGCUGAGGCGCGAAGGCGUGGGGAGCGAACGGG
rnacentral:rRNA from 1 species